AGAUCAUUCCUCCAGCCAGCUAGACCAUUUAGUUCGUUUCUUCCAUGUAGUAAAACUACUGGGCAACAAGAUAUGAAUUGUUGCAUCAGGUGAGACAGCUUAUCCUGGUAGCAACUGUCCUACAUUGAGCAGGGGGAAAGGAAGUACUGGUUGCAGGUAUUAACCAUUGCCAGUUGCUUACUUCUGUAAUAUUCGGAAAUAUUUUCGUUGGAGUAUUCCUGACUCCUGUAAAAGUAAGGUCAUCUCAUAUAUGCUGGUUACAUAGCUGAAUAUUCGUAACUAUUUUCAUUAGAACAUUUGGAGCAAAUGAAUUUUGUAAACAAACUACAGCUGUUGUCAUGUGUGAAAUCUUGGGGCACAAUGACACAACUUACAUGCCCAUCUUUUUCCUUGUUCUGUGAUGGAGUUUUUUUACAAUGCCUCAGUGGCCAUCUUACA